CCUAUUCAUCCUUCAAAACCCAGCUCAGGUGUCAACAACUGCAGGAAAAUUUUCCUAACCAUACUUUGUCUCCUGAAAUGUGUAAGGUUUCCCUCCCCUAUGUCCCCAUUUCACUCCACAAGACUUCUAUCAUGGCCUGAUCUCUCUAUCUGAUGACUAAGGAUUCCUCACGUCACCUAAACUCUUGCAUCACUUCUCUACUGUGUAUUUGGGAGUAAUUUCUGUUCCAGAGUUGAUUCACACUCAGCUGCUUCUUUGUGGUCACUAUCUUCUAAGCUGCUUUCUGCUUCACUUCUUGGAAGUGAUCUCUUUUCUCCCUUAAUACCCUGUCAUCACCAGCAUGUGCAUCUCAAAGCAUGAAGAGUGAGUGUUUCACAGACUUGUGUUGACUGUUGCGGAAGCGCUGGUGACCAUUGGAGCAGCAUCUCCCAGGAUUGAGGAAACCGUCAUUUGAAGAGAGGGCUCCUAUGCCUGGAACACAAUACGUGUCUCAGAAGGCCACUCACUGCAUGAAUGGAAAGGAGGCUAGAUGGAAGAAUUUACUGUAUAUAGUAAUAAAUAUAAAACACAUGAAAAUUGAGUGAAAUUUCUGAGAAAUACCUUAAUUAAAGUGAUUAAGCAGCAGCUCCGGACUGAAGAUGAGAUUCUGUAACAGUCUCCCUGCUUCUGCUGAGCAUCAGAUGGUCCAGAAUGUUUCACAGACCCUUAACUGGUCUCCAAGCUUCUAAUUCUUCAGGCGCCGCCCCCUCCGCCCCCUGCCACAAACCCCAGCCUCAGGAGUGAUUUUCCUAUUAAAAAAAAAAUGAUCAGAUUUUGUGAGCCUUCUAUUUAAAAUGUCAGUUGGUUCCUUGUCAACAAUGAGGGAUUGUUAACACUCCUUUUGAUGCUGCUCAAAUUCCUUCAUGAUCUCUUAUUUUUAAAAAAGAAGGAAAAAAAA
rnacentral:lncRNA from 1 species